rnacentral:rRNA from 1 species
UACGGAGGGUGCAAGCGUUAAUCGGAAUUACUGGGCGUAAAGCGCGCGUAGGCGGCUUUGCAAGUCGGGUGUGAAAUCCCCAGGCUUAACCUGGGAACUGCAUUCGAGACUGCAUUGCUAGAGUAUGGGAGAGGGAAGUGGAAUUUCAGGUGUAGCGGUGAAAUGCGUAGAUAUCUGAAGGAACAUCAGUGGCGAAAGCGACUUCCUGGACCAAUACUGACGCUCAUGUGCGAAAGCGUGGGGAGCAAACAGG